GAACUUAAGCAUAUCAAUAAGCGGAGGAAAAGAAACCAACAGGGAUUGCCUCAGUAACGGCGAGUGAAGCGGCAACAGCUCAAAUUUGAAAUCUGGCCCUUCUGGGGUCCGAGUUGUAAUUUGUAGAAGAUGCUUCGGGUGUGGCUCCGGUCUAAGUUCCUUGGAACAGGACGUCAUAGAGGGUGAGAAUCCCGUAUGUGACUGGCAGCCUUCGCCCAUGUGAAGCUCUUUCGACGAGUCGAGUUGUUUGGGAAUGCAGCUCAAAAUGGGUGGUAAAUUUCAUCUAAAGCUAAAUAUUGGCCAGAGACCGAUAGCGCACAAGUAGAGUGAUCGAAAGAUGAAAAGCACUUUGGAAAGAGAGUUAAACAGUACGUGAAAUUGUUGAAAGGGAAGCGCUUGCAACCAGACUUGCGCGCGGCCGAUCAUCCGGGGUUCUCCCCGGUGCACUCGACCGCGCUCAGGCCAGCAUCGGUUUGGGCGGCUGGAUAAAGGCCCUGGGAAUGUGGCUUCCUUCGGGGAGUGUUAUAGCCCUGGGUGCAAUGCAGCCUGCCCGGACCGAGGACCGCGCUUCGGCUAGGAUGCUGGCGUAAUGGUUGUAAGCGACCCGUCUUGAAACACGGACCAAGGAGUCUAACAUCUAUGCGAGUGUUUGGGUGUCAAACCCAUACGCGUAAUGAAAGUGAACGGAGGUGAGAACCCUUAAGGGCGCAUCAUCGACCGAUCCUGAUGUCUUCGGAUGGAUUUGAGUAGGAGCAUAGCUGUUGGGACCCGAAA
rnacentral:rRNA from 1 species